rnacentral:rRNA from 1 species
GCCGCGUGAGUGAUGAAGGUUUUCGGAUCGUAAAGCUCUGUUGUUAGGGAAGAACAAGUGCCGUUCAAAUAGGGCGGCACCUUUGACGGUACCUAACCAGAAAGCCACGGCUAACUACGUGCCAGCAGCCGCGGUAAUACGUAGGUGGCAAGCGUUGUCCGGAAUUAUUGGGCGUAAAGGGCUCGCAGGCGGUUUCUUAAGUCUGAUGUGAAAGCCCCCGGCUCAACCGGGGAGGGUCAUUGGAAACUGGGGAACUUGAAGUGCAGAAGAGGAGAGUGGAAUUCCACGUGUAGCGGUGAAAUGCGUAGAGAUGUGGAGGAACACCAGUGGCGAAGGCGACUCUCUGGUCUGUAACUGACGCUGAGGAGCGAAAGCGUGGGGAGCGAACAGGAUUAGAUACCCUGGUAGUCCACGCCGUAAACGAUGAGUGCUAAGUGUUAGGGGGUUUCCGCCCCUUAGUGCUGCAGCUAACGCAUUAAGCACCUCC